UAACCCUAAAACCGUCUCUCACAGUAACCCUAACUCUCUUUCUGUUAUCUCCGCCUCCUUUCUUUUUUUUUUUCUUUCUUCCUUCGUUCCUUCAAGUGAGUUUUGUAAAGAGAUUUUUUCUCACAGUAACAAUUCUCGGUCCAGCACAGCAGCGGAUAGCACGGUCUUGGCUUCAUUCAUCACGCAUCCAGCAGGGAUUUUGGCUUGAAGAAAAGAGAAGAGAAUGGUUAUUGAAUGAAAGGGGCCCACGGACAAAUUAAUUUGGACAGCAGCAAGCUUCACACGGACAGCAGCGUCCAGGAGGUGCGGGGAGAAAAAUCACAUUCAUUUGGUCUCAUCCAGCAAGCUAGGAGGUGGACGAAGAAACACGUGAAGGAGGAUUUUACUUUCUCUUUGGAAGAUGCACACGGGCAUUGAAUAAGAAGCAGCGUCCAGCUGGUUUUGGAAAAAAAGCAGGCCUUAACUAGAAGAGGAAACACAGUCCAGCAGCUGGAGGAAGGGGUGCCUGGAGUAGCUGAUUCAACGUCCAGCAUCUUGGAAUUGAGGAGGUGCUGGGAGAGAAAUGGGCAGAGGGCCUGGUCCAACAUCCAGCCUACACACAGCCACAGAGAUGGAGGGUUACGGAGAGGAUUAAAAACAUUUUUUUUUGGGGGCGAAGCCAGGGGUCCAGCCGCCACCUAUGGGGGAUGGUUUUUGGCUUCACGGGAGAGGUGCUGUCACGGCUGCACUUUAGAAAGCAAUGUAGUCAAGGAAAGGAGCUGUUGCGGUUUAGAGAGAGAAGCGCUGCAGCAAGGGGAUUUCUUUUGGAGGCGCUGACACACUUUGAAGAGGAGGACUUUCAUUGUUCACCAUAGGAGUUUGAUAGAUCAAGCAAACUGAGAAACCAGUUCAGUUAAAGCUGUGUUCUGACUUGGGUUAUAAUGUCACCAGGUUUCUCACAUGGAUAUAGCUUCAAGGAAACAAACAAAUAGGGAUUUCUCUCCCUAUCUCAUUCUAAUAUCAUUUUUCUAAUUUAUUAUUUUAGAAAACAUUAUGAAAUUGUAAAAAAUAAAUAAAAAAUAUAUUUCUGUUCAUAAUGUUUAUUUUUUUGUUAGUUACUGUAAGAAUGAAUAAUUGUUUUAAUUAUUUUUAGUUACUGUAAGAAUGAAUAAUUCUAGUGAAAAACAAUAGGAUUUGGGCUUGCUAUGUAGGAAUAAAACAGAAAAAGUUUUAAAGAUUUCUCAGAACAAAUAUCUUCUGUUUGGUGGAGAAAAAAAAUUACUAUAUAUGUAAUUAAUUUGUUUUAUUAUAUAUAUAAAUUGUAAGAAAUACUUAAGAAUAAAAUAAAAUAAAAAUGUUUUUGUUUUCCUACUGUUGUUGGAGGGUUAUAAUGUCACAAGGUUUCUCACAUAUGCACAUAGCUUCAAGGUUAGUAUAUUGCCAUAUCUAAUCUAGAGUUUAUUUAUGACAUAAUAUUACUUGCAAGAUGUUCAAUGUAGUGUAUUAUAGUUCAAUGUAGUGCACAAAUUUGGUAAUAGUUCUUUAUGUGUUUUAAGAUAAAUCAAAAGUAACAUUAUCUCAAUUUAUUUUAAUAUUUUCUAUAUUUUAGUUAAUACAUUCAUUGGAAAGUAAUGUAUUGUAAAUAUUAAUGAAAUAUUAGUUUUGUUGAAUUUUUUGUAAUAUUCUUUUAAUAAUAUAAUUUACUUUUAGAAAUAUGACUUUUUAUUUAUAAAAGUUGUUUAUAAUAAGAUCUUCUUAAUUAUUGUCCUAUAUCUAGAACAGUAUGUUAAUUGUUAAACAGUACUUUCAUGUUUUUACCAUUAGAUUGUUUUAUUCUGGCACUAAAAGGUAGGUAUACUUUUUUAAUAUGAAAUGUUUUCAUCGUAGAAUGAAAAUGCAUGAUUUUAUUGUUAUUCCCUUGUGCAUUAUAUAUUAAGUAAUUAAAUAAUGAG